CCUUCCCCCUUCUUUGAUUAUUGCUCCACUGAAAUUUUAAAACAGACUACCAAGCAGGGACAUUCCCUUUUCUAUGCAUGUGGAACUGAGAGAGUUAAUUGACUUCAUGGCUCAUUAUUAUUUACUUGAUUUUUUGCUAAUCUCUUCACUUCUUAGGUGUUAACAAUGUUUGAUCUUCCUCUAAUCGCCAAGCUUUUCUUCUACAAUUGUCUCUUAUCUGUUAAUGUUUCUCUGCUCACUUCCUUACCUCCCACAUGUUCAGUAGUGGUGUGCUGCUACCAAGGAAACAAUACUGAGUGGCUUUGUUUGGAGGGGAUUCAAAAAAUCAGACAGGAAAGGGAGGGGCAGAGCUAAAAGUUGGCUGAGCUGUGUAGUGGCAGUCAGAGGCAGGAAAGAGUUGCAAAGGUGAGGGGAAGAGAUGGCAUCAGAAGCACUGUCAUCUGAAAUAGGCAACGUUCCAGAAUGUCCAAAUUGCAAAAAGGAAAAGAGAAUCCGGAAUGAGUAUGACCAGUUCAUUUUGCAGUCAAGAAAGGACAAGGAGGCUUUGCAGAAGAGGAUUAUGGAGCUAAAAGCUGAACUGAAAAAGAUAUGAAGAAUAUAAACUAUGUCCAGGACAAGAGAAUGAAUUCACCUACUCUAAGGAAAAUGGACUGGUGCUUGAAACAUCUGGUCUGGGUCUUGGACAACACUCAGAAGGGAACAGCCCCUGCAUGGGACCUAGAAGGGAAACGAGAGUGCUUCCCACAGAGGAAGUCAGCUAGGAGGUGCACCAGCUCAUAUCAGACCUCCAAGGACAGAUGUAACCCCUCAUAUUCAUGACGGCUCUCAGAGACUGGACUGACUUGCCCAGUGUCCAUAAAUGAGGGAAAUGCCUUGGGCAGCAGACUAAUCAUAUGAACUUAGACUAAUUAUAAAGGGAAUAUAUAAUGUGCAUGCUGCAAAAUUCACCCCCCGAACCUCUGUAAAUUUGUCUUAUUGUGCUCUGGAGAGUCAUAUUCAGCCAGAUCCCUUAUCAGUAGAAACAGAAGGUAUGAACCAACACAGAAACAUUUGAGGGGUUAGGUGACACUAAACAAUAACUGAACUUGUAGGUAUGUGUAGAAUUAAUGGAGAAUGCUCUACUUUCUCCAGGCUUUUGUGGAAUCAUCCUGUAGUCUUUAAUGGUUGUGGUAAGUUUCUUUAUGAAGCUGUGUAGAACAUUUCAAAGAUUCUAUGGGAAGGUUAUCAAUUCCUAUUUUAAUAAAUAUAGAAUAAAGACUUGUUCCAUAAGGAUAUUUUAUAGUGUAAUUAUUAGUAAAGCUCCUAGUUUCUCUUUAACUGGAGAACAAUGUGUUGUUACAUGUGAUGAUGCACCACACCAUCUGCACCCCCCUUUUCAAAAUCCUAGAUUUGCCCAUGAGUGUCCUCUACUUGAUAAAUCAGUGGCUAGUAAUUCUCUGUCUUGUUUUAUCUGUAAAUUGAUAUAUUAUAUAUAUCAAGUUUGUUACC